rnacentral:rRNA from 1 species
AAGCGUGCGCAGGCGGUUAUGUAAGACAGAUGUGAAAUCCCCGGGCUCAACCUGGGAACUGCAUUAGUGACUGCAUAGCUGGUAGUACGGCAGAGGGGGAUGGAAUUCCGCGUGUAGCAGUGAAAUGCGUAGAUAUGCGGAGGAACACCGAUGGCGAAGGCAAUCCCCUGGGCCUGUACUGACGCUCAUGCACGAAAGCGUGGGGAGCAAACAGGAUUAGAUACCCCAGU